rnacentral:rRNA from 1 species
CCUCCCACCCGUGUCUAUCGUACCUUGUUGCUUCGGCGGGCCCGCCGUUUCGACGGCCGCCGGGGAGGCCUUGCGCCCCCGGGCCCGCGCCCGCCGAAGACCCCAACAUGAACGCUGUUCUGAAAGUAUGCAGUCUGAGUUGAUUAUCGUAAUCAGUUAAAACUUUCAACAACGGAUCUCUUGGUUCCGGCAUCGAUGAAGAACGCAGCGAAAUGCGAUAAGUAAUGUGAAUUGCAGAAUUCAGUGAAUCAUCGAGUCUUUGAACGCACAUUGCGCCCCCUGGUAUUCCGGGGGGCAUGCCUGUCCGAGCGUCAUUGCUGCCCUCAAGCACGGCUUGUGUGUUGGGCCCCCGUCCCCCUCUCCCGGGGGACGGGCCCGAAAGGCAGCGGCGGCACCGCGUCCGGUCCUCGAGCGUAUGGGGCUUUGUCACCUGCUCUGUAGGCCCGGCCGGCGCCAGCCGACACCCAACUUUAUUUUUCUAAGGUUGACCUCGGAUCAGGUAGGGAUACCCGCUGAACUUAAGCAUAUCAAAAGUCCGGAGGAACA